GAACGCGGUAUGCGGUGAAAGUCGCACGUACCGUGUGAGACGGGGGAAAAGCCAGAGAUUACUUCAAAGGUUUACCUAUCGUAC
rnacentral:ncRNA from 2 species